AAUGUUUUUAACUGUUGCAAGUUGCAAACAGAACAGUGCUUUCAUUACAUUACAGCAACGAAAAAAAAGAAAAUAAACUGUUACCAUAAAAAGUAGUCAACGUGACAGAACAAUUAAUUCAUACAGAGCUGAUACUAAUAAUGCACUGUCAAGAAAUCAACUAAAAUGUGUCAGAUGGCGGAGCUGAGUCUUCACAAAUGACACAAGCUCAGAUACCCGAGAAUGACAAACACUGCGAGCUGUGGUGUGAAGCAUUUGAAGAAGAAGAAUGGCGCAGCGGGGCACAGAGCUGAGGAAAUCCACAUUAUUGCUAAAGGAGAAUCCCAAUUAAACUUGAGGACACACCCUUUAUCCAGAGUGUCUGCCAAAGUCUCCCCAGCUCACCAGUUGGAAUCAAUAAUGUGAUUAAGAGGGAAAAAGCGAGUGAGGGGAGGAAUUUUACAGCAAAAAUAAAACUUGGAACGGCGGUAGAGAAACUCCAAAAGGAGAAACAUGUCUUUCCGGAGUUGGUAUUCAUUAUAUACUUAUUAUCCUUCUGUAGCCGAACAAUAGUGGUGGCUUUCUUUCUUUUUGUUUUCAGUUUCAAAGCGUCCAUGAAUGACAUGUUCAGCUCUGCUUUGCUGCUCCAUUUCAUUACAGGAAAAACAUGUAAACAUCCUAUACAUGUUUAAAAAAAAAGCAACUAAUUACAGCAGUUAUGUAUGUAACGGGUAAAUAUAAGCAUUCUAACAUUAUUUACCCCAAAUGUCUUUAAUUUUAAAGUCGGAGGCAUUCCACAGAGAGGCUGUUUUGGCAGCUCUUGGCUGUAAAGCUGUGUCAGUGCUGGUCCAUGCCAGCCCCACCCCAUUAAGGCCGAACCCUGCACAUCAUGUGUUUCCACUUUACCGAUAGGGUGGAAAUGACCUCAACGCAGUAAAAGAUGACAGGGGUGCUAGCGCUGUUCACCAGAUGUGAGCAGAAAAAGAGAGAGAGAAAGAAAGAGGAGGAGGAGGAGGAGGAGGAGGAAAGGGAGAGAAAACCAUUCGCCUGAAGAAUUUACUGCAAACCCCUGAGGAGCCCUGUGAUUGAGGGUUCAAGUCGAGCUCCAGAGGUUCCUGGUGUAUCUCAGCGGCGCUCGGGGACCAAAUACCCUUCUGGCCCGGCCAGACGCCGAACCGCACGCGCACACACGUACAUGCAUGUACGCAUACAUCCCAAAAAAAAAAACACACUGUCAUUCCACUGCACCUGCUAGCAACACAAAAGCCACUUCCUCCCACUGUGUCCGGCCAAGCCCCUUUAUCCCAUUUAGUGCAGCCUGCACCGCAACAAAAGGCAGAGAAAUUAGGGAGCUGCGUUGAUGAUAGGGCGACUAAUCUCUUUGGAGGGACUCAUUAUAUCAGCAGCCUGUACAGUUCGGCAGCUGAAAGGGGUGAAUUAAAUAUGGACAUGCAGAGAUGGGCGUCUUUGUGAAGAUGAGUGCACCAACAAUGCGCUGCUAUUACCUCUGGAAUAAUUCAUACAUUCCAUAUGGGACAGAUGCCCCGACCACACUAUCAUCUGUGCAUUUGAUUUCACACAAUUGAGGUCAGAAGUGAAUUGAUUAUCUCCGAAAUAUGUGCUUGUUUUGUUGUCAUAGCCAUAUUUUGUAGUUCAAAACUGUCAUACAGUCUUCAUGUUUUUUUCUCUCUUGAGUGUUUACAGCAUAUCAUAAAAGGUCACUUGCCCUUGCACUCAAACACAUACUCCUCUGCAGCACAUUAGGACUGUUGGUGCCAGAAGGAGAGGUGAUUAUUACUUAGUUUUUGAUGAUAAUCUGAAAAGCAGCUUGACGUUUUUCAAGAUGAUGCAUGUACUACCUCUUCUCUUGACACCAGCCCGAUACUCUGCUUAAGACACGCGGCUUAUAAUAGUCCCCUCAUUAUAGGAUAAAGGGCUGGCCUGCUCUAUUUCAGGCCAUGGCUGUCUGUGUCUGCGCUCGUCGACUAGCUGGAAAUAAAGCCAGACGCUUGUCAACGCCACAAGCACAAGGGGAGGCAGGCGGCCCUGCUGGGCAGCCGGCACAGCGAGCACGGCGCGGGGGGCAACCCUGCAACUAUUAGACACCUGCAAAAAGGGGGAGUGGGAGGGGUAGUGAGGGAAGAGGUGUCCUCAGCAUGUGAGCAACUGUGGCCCAUCUGUACGCCUGUCUUUAUAAAUGUACAGCCUGCUGCACUGAUGCAGGGAGAAAGAGCAGAAAGUGAGAGCAAGGUGGGGCAGAAACCGAAUCGGGAUGCUGAGAUUCAGAAACAUUCUGCUUUUCAAUGAGGUAAUAAACAAGACUAACAAGGUCAAAGAAGGAGAAAAGAUCCACCUGACCAGAUGAUGCUGUGGCACAGAGUGACCAUGACGGAUCCCGGGGUGACUGUAAUACUGAAUAAAUAACUUUCUCCCCCCUCGCUGCAAUAGAGUCCGCUAGGACAGCUGUGCUGAAUUCAUUUGAUACGGGUGCCUGCUGACAAUGCUGCAUUGCUCCGUCUCUGCAAGAAAGCAUGUCGAGCUGGUCUGAAGAGCACACAGGGGCUCGCAGCUUUUCACCAACACUGACUGAUUGUUCUGCUAUACAACCCUAAAGCUCUGACCCCUGCGAGACUAAGCUAAGAGAAAUAAACCGUUUAUUAGAGAGGGUCGGUCCGGAGAAGAGGAGAAGACACAGUGCUCUUACAGUAGAUCAGAUUUUGAGAUGCAAUGUCCUGGCGGCAGAGCAGAUACGUGAGAUGAUAGGCGCCCGUAAUGGCACACGGCAAAAACAGGAGAGAGCCGAAAAUAAUGUGGAUCCCACUCAUUUGUUCAUUUAGCGGGCUCUUGAAACGAGCCUGGAAAAGGAGAUAGAGGAUGGUUAUGAGGUCAUCCUGACAAAGUAGCACUACCUCUCCAUUUUUAUCUAUCCAUCUAUCUAUCUAUCUAUCUAUCUAUCUAUCUAUCUAUCUAUCUAUCUAUCUAUCUAUCUAUCCAUCUAUCCAUCUAUCUAUCUAUCUAUCCAUCUAUCCAUCCAUCUAUCUAUCUAUGAUGAACAAAACGCAGACAGAUGGCGAGGAGUUUUCAUCUCUUCAAAACGAGACGAUCAGCCCUCACACCCCUGGAACAGCACAGUGAUACAUGUGCGGCGUAUGUAGGCCAGUCUGAAUACAGACUGAUACAGCAUGUGCUCACUACAGUGGAGGUGGAGAUCUAAGUAUAAUGCAGUGUGAGGGGGAGUGCAGUAGGAGAUCUCAGUGGAGGAGGAGAGCCUGUGUCUGUAUGUGUGUGUGUGUGUGUGUGUGUGUGUGUGUGUGUGUGUGUGUGUGUCCUACAGGGUCGAGGAGGUGUCAAAUGGAGGAGGUGAGUGAUGGUGGCGGGGCAGAGGAGGUGUCAGACAUGGAGGUCUCGGUGAUGGAGAGGGGAGCUUUUAUACAGUGCUGACCUGUGGGAGAAGUGUGUGUGAUGCAGAGUGGAGAAGGAGGAGGAGGAGGAAGAGGAGGAGGAGGAGAAAGCAGCAGCAGCAGCAGCAGCAGGAGGAGGAGAGACUUUCAUUGGAGGUCACAAUGAAAGAGGAUGGGCAGUGAAUGGAGGAGGGUGAGGUCUCUGUACUGUAAGAGGUCUAUGCACUGUGAGGUCUGUGCGUUCGUACAGUAUGUGUGUGUGUGUGUGUGUGUGUGUUUUGUGUGUGUUCUGGCGCGCUUCUUUGAGCCCACCAGCCAGAGAGCACGAAGUUCUUAUUUAGCACAGGAAGAGCAGCUCUGCUUAGCAACCACAGCCGCCCUCCAAUCACAGGCGUACGGAGCAGACUCCAACUGAGGACGAGUCCUUUCUGAGAGUGUGUGGAAUCUGACAGAGACCUCUGAACGUUGAGGUCCACACCUGCCCACACGCUCACACACAUACUGUUCAUAGAACAAGGUAAACUAUUUCUCCAGAAUCUGAGCUUUUAUGUCACUAGCAAGACAAAAAAAGUACAUUCACGCCCCUCUGCAUGUCCUCCGCUUCCGCCGUCUCCUGAACUCAGCGGAGAAUUCAAAGUUAAUCUAAACCAUCCUAAUCCCAAAAAUUUUAAUUAUGCAUAUCCCGAAAAGCAAAGGGAGCCGUGUAAAUCCUUAAAACAUUCAUUCUCCUUCCCACCCCACACCCAACACCCCACAGCCGCACACAGCACUGUGCUGCAAACUCGGCACCGCACCAGUCGCAAGUGAAAAGAUAGCGGCCCCGAUUGUGAUCUGCUAGCCAUCGAAACAGGAGGCACGAACAAGAUUUGGGCCAAAUGCUGUCUGAACACUGAGCAGUCUGUUUGGUUUAGCUGCGUGAGCUAAUCCUUAUGAUAGCUUUAGAGGUGGGCGGUGGGCGGAUUGUAGGCGAGAGCAGCAUGCCGAUUUGUCAUAUGGCACCAGCAGGGCCUACUUCUGCUCGGGCUGGAGCUCCAUUAGCACAUCUCCAAUGUGGUCUAACAGUUCUCUAGCUCAGAGCUGAGGGUCAUUAAGGAGAGACAGAGGGAAAAUUUGAGGGGAUAAAUAUCCUGCUCAUGUCUCUGGCCUCUAAAGUCUCAUCAGAAGACUCAAAUUGUAUCAGCAGCCACCACCACCACGUACAGAAGAUGAGGUGGGAGUCUAGACAGAUGAUACAGGCAGAGAGGAGGUAAGCCGAGCCAAAGCGCGGUCUGCGAAGCCCCCGUCCGGCCUUUCAGCAGCUCGGCCUGUCAGGCUGAUGUAUGGGGGAGCGCUGGUGUGCAGCUCCCUGAGGACCAGGCCUGUCUGCUAACUGGGACGCGACUGACAGUGAACCACAGCAAACGCAGCACUGCCCCCUCCGCCACGCUCCCUCCAUGAUGCUCAGCCCCCGAGUAUUUCACACACACUGAAAAGACUGUCACCAUUUUGAGAAAAUAUAUAACUCACAAGUGAUACAUCAACUCCUGCUGACUGCAGUUAGGAAGAAAUUAGCCACAGGUGCUGACCCAAGACCCGCGAUAACUUUUUUUCUUCUACAGACAGAUAUAUUUCUGGACUGUACAAAGACGUCUGGGUCCAAUUUAUGGGGAAAACAUGAUAUAAAUCAGCUGUGGACGCCUGUGUAGCUGCAUCCAGGACUGAUAACCUUCCCCCCUGUCGUUAUUUCAGAAAUGUUUCUAUAAGACAUUUUCCUGAGCAUCUUUUCAAAGAGAGUGUACUGAGGU